CACUCUUAACCCCCUCUGUUACUCUGCGCUGGAAAGCCCCGCUACCUAUAUCCGUCCUCUGCACUUGAGCUUGCAGUCUCUUGCCUUCCUUCCUGUUCAUGCAGCAAUAAACCCCUGAGCCACACAGAGACUAUGUCAACAUGAGACCUCUGUUUAUUGAGAAGUUAUGAGAUGUGAUUAGAGUUAUUAGAUUAUUAGUGUGAUUAGAUCAACAUGUACAGGAAUGUUUUAGCAAAAUGUGUCUGCAAAUAUCUGUUGCUGCUCUGACUCACACAGUGUGUGACCUAUAUAUCAGAAAAAAAUCGCUUUGGAUAAAAGCUUCUGCAAAAUGACAAAAUGUAAAUGCAAAACCCGCAGCUUUGUGGAAGACACUGCAAUACCAUCACGACUUCAGGCAGCGUACUGACUCUCUGUCCGGUCAAAGUGCAUUCAUGGGUUUCAACAUUGUACUGCAGCCAAUGUGUUUCUGGUUCAUAUGCAUUAGUUGUCAGUUAACUGAAAUAGUUUGAAUGCGUAAAGAUGUUGACUUUUAUUUGUGAACUCAAAUUACAAUGAAAAGUCUAUCAUACUUUUCUGGGCCACUGUACAUAAUAGUU